CCUACGGGUGGCUGCAGUGAGGAAUAUUGGUCAAUGGUAGGGAUACUGAACCAGCCAAGCCGCGUGAGGGAGGACGGUACAAUGUAUUGUAAACCUCUUUUGUCGGGGAACAAAACCCGGGACGUGUCCCCGGCUGCGUGUAUCCGACGAAAAAGCAUCGGCUAACUCCGUGCCAGCAGCCGCGGUAAUACGGAGGAUGCGAGCGUUAUCCGGAUUUAUUUGGUUUAAAGGGUGCGUAGGCGGACCGGUAAGUCAGCGGUAAAAUUGAGGGGCUCAACCCCUUCGAGCCGUUGAAACUGGGUGACUUGAGUUGGCGAGAAGUACGCGGAAUGCGUGGUGUAGCGGUGAAAUGCAUAGAUAUCGCGCAGAACUCCGAUUGCGAAGGCAGCGUACCGGCGCCAGACUGACGCUGAGGCACGAAAGCGUGGGGAUCGAACAGGAUUAGAUACCCUGGUAGUC
rnacentral:rRNA from 1 species